rnacentral:misc_RNA from 1 species
CCACUGCAUCCGACACUAUGACAAGAGAGAAUGAGUUUGAACGAUAGGGAAGAGGAAACUUGAUAUCAGCUACUCGCACUAUUCCCUUAUAAACAAGACUCUUGCAAGUUUCAUCAGUUUCAUCUAACUCGUAGGGUUCAACACCCCAUGCUUCAGUACCCUCCUUUUUUAACAGUGUAGACACCACUGAACAAGCGUCAGGGCCUACGUGCAAUACUUUUUGCAUGCUGUCACCAUAGGCUUUCUGUAAUAUAGGCAAUGCCCUCUGAAGUUCUGAUGUGCAUGAAACACCACCUUCAUGUCUACUGAAAGCAUCAACAGCUCCACCUGAACCGUGAUACAAAUAACCAAUAAUCAACAAUGCUCCCACAACCACAAGUCCUAUAGACAAUAAAGGAGAUGGACGUGAU